CGCCAACUAUCAUAGCUCCACAAUUGCAGUACACAAACUCUCACACCAAGUUUUUGAGAUUUUCAACAGCUAGACUGGAAUGUUUUUUCUCUGGAUAUGACCUCCAAUACACUAAAGGUCCUGUGACAAAAUGGUAUUUCGAUGACGGCAACGAGAUCAAAGCAACCAGCAAAUAUUCAUUUUCACUUGAUCAUCGUCGUCUUUACAUUUAUAAUGUGGAUGAAUCUGAUGAGAAAAAUUAUUACUGCCAAGCACACAAUACAGGAGGAACAUCUAACAAAGAGGCUGUGUUUCUUGAUAUUACUACCUCCCCAAUAUUUUACCCAAACGGAUCUCCAGUGGAUCAAACUACGUCUGAAGGUAAAGAUGCCGUAUUUAACUGUAAUGCCAGGUCAGCACGUGGAGAAACAGAGCCUGAUCCACCUGUGUGGUACAUUAAUGGACAGCAAGUCGGUGCAC